rnacentral:misc_RNA from 1 species
AAGUCGUAACAAGGUUUCCGUAGGUGAACCUGCGGAAGGAUCAUUAACACGUAUCCAAACGUUAAACCCCCCUGCUGUACUCGUACGUCCGUUAGAAAAAGCAGCAAUCCCUGGUAAAUCAUCGCCGAACAGUUUUCGAUUCAGGGACGUCUGCAAGGAGCGUGCACGUUGUGCGAAGCAAGUGGCCUGGCAUCCCCAAGCAGUUAGUGUCUGAAAGUGUCAUUACCUGUGUAAGGAUGACGCAGUCACGAUCGUUGGAGGCCAACACGGCCGACGACCGGGUCGCUGGGCGCAAGCCCCCCUACAACAAACCCCCUGCCAAUCGCGGCCGCGAUGAUACGCAGUCGACCAAAAACCGAACAACUGUUAACAAUGGAUAUCUUGGUUCUC